UACGGAGGAUCCAAGCGUUAUCCGGAUUCAUUGGGGUUAAAGGGUGCGUAGGCGGGAUAGUAAGUCAGGGGUGAAAUCCUGCAGCUUAACUGCAGAACUGCCAUUGAUACUGCUAACCUAGAGUACAGCUGAUGUGGGCGGAAUGUGUCGUGUAGCGGUGAAAUGCUUAGAUAUGACACAGAACACCGAUUGCGAAGGCAGCUCACAAAACUGUAACUGACGCUGAGGCACGAAAGUGUGGGGAUCGAACAGG
rnacentral:rRNA from 1 species